AUGAUCCAGAGUACCACGGGACACGUGAAACCCUGUGGGAAGCAGGAGGGACCACCCUCCAAGGCUAAAUACUACCUAGUGACCGAUAGCGUAUAGUACCGUGAGGGAAAGGUGAAAAGAACCCCGGGAGGGGAGUGAAAUAGAACCUGAAACCCUGCACUUACAAGCUGUGGAAGCACAUUUCUUGUGUGACCGCGUACUUUUUGUAGAACGGGCCAACGAGUUACGUUAAGUAGCAAGGUUAAGCACUUAAGGUGCGGAGCCGUAGCGAAAGCGAGUUUUAACUGAGCGUUCAGUUACUUGACGUAGACCCGAAACCGGGCGACCUACCCAUGAGCAGGAUGAAGCGAAAGUAAAAUUUCGUGGAGGUCCGAACCCACGAGCGUUGAAAAGCUCGGGGAUGACUUGUGGGUAGCGGUGAAAUUCCAAUCGAGCCCGGAGAUAGCUGGUUCUCCCCGAAAUAGCUUUAGGGCUAGCCUCAAGGUGAGAGAUACGGAGGUAGAGCACUGAAUGUCCUAGGGGGUAUUGCACCUACCGAAGACUAUCAAACUCCGAAUGCCGUCAUCUUAUACUUGGGAGUCAGACUGUGGGUGAUAAGAUUCAUAGUCGAAAGGGCAACAGCCCAGAUCGUCAGCUAAGGUCCCUAAAUGUAAGUUAAGUGGUAAAGGAUGUGGGAUUGCACAGACAACCAGGAUGUUGGCUUAGAAGCAGCCACUCAUUCAAAGAGUGCGUAAUAGCUCACUGGUCGAGUGAUCCUGCGCCGAAGAUUUCCGGGGCUAAAACUUACUACCGAAGCUACGGCAUCAGUAAUGAUGGGUAGGGGAGCUUCCCAUACGGGUUGAAGCAUGACCGUAAGGACAUGUGGACAGUAUGGGAGUGAGAAUGUUGGCAUGAGUAGCGAGAUGUGGGUGAGAAUCCCACAGGCCGUAAACCCAAGGUUUCCAGGGGAAGGUUCGUCCGCCCUGGGUUAGUCGGGACCUAAGCUGAGGCCGAAAGGCGUAGGUGAUGGACAACAGGUUGAUAUUCCUGUACUACCGAUAACCGUUUGAGAGAAGGGAUGACACAGUAGGAUAAGCUAAGCACACUGUUGGUUAUGUGUGCCCAAGCAUUGAGGCAGUCAAAGUAGGCAAAUCCGCUUUGAUAAUGCUGGGAUGUGAUGGGGAGCGAAAUUUAGUAGCGAAGUAGCUGAUUUCACACUGUCAAGAAAAGUCUCUAUCGAGGUUAAAGGUACCCGUACCGCAAACCGACACAGGUGGGUGAGGAGAGUAUCCUAAGGCCAGCGAGAGAACUGUUGUUAAGGAACUCGGCAAAAUGACCCCGUAACUUAGGGAUAAGGGGUGCCACCAUCAGGUGGCCGCAGAGAAUAGGCCCAAGCGACUGUUUACCAAAAACAUAGGUUUCUGCUAAGUCGCAAGACGAUGUAUAGGAGCUGACGCCUGCCCGGUGCUGGAAGGUUAAGGGGAUCUGUUAGAGCAAUCGAAGCAGUGAACUUAAGCCCCAGUAAACGGCGGCCGUAACUAUAACGGUCCUAAGGUAGCGAAAUUCCUUGUCGGGUAAGUUCCGACCCGCACGAAAGGCGUAACGAUUUGGGCACUGUCUCAACAACAGACUCGGUGAAAUUGUAAUUCCGGUGAAGAUGCCGGAUACCUGCGACAGGACGGAAAGACCCCAUGGAGCUUUACUGUAGCUUGACAUUGGGUCUUGGUACUACAUGUACAGGAUAGGUGGGAGGCUUUGAAACCAGGACGCCAGUUUUGGCGGAGCCAUCCUUGGGAUACCACCCUUGUAGUACUGGGACUCUA
rnacentral:rRNA from 1 species